AUUUUGAUUUAUUUCCUUUCCUUCUUUCUUUCGAGAUCUUUGUUUUCUUUUUUCCCUCUCCCUCCCUUCCUUCUUCCUUCCUUCUUCCUUCCUUCCUUCCUUCCUUCCUUCCUUCCUUCCUUCCUUCCUUCCUUUUCUGUCACCCAGGCUGGAGUGCAGUGGUGCAAUCAUUGCUUACCGCAACCUUGUACUUCUGGGCUCAAGCCAUGCCAUACCAUAUCUGCCUUAUAUCUUUUAGACUAUAUCUGCCCCAUUCUUGGCCUCUGCAUUUUUUCAUUUCUUGAUUAGAUUGCAUCUUUAGUUAUAUUUAAAUAAAAAUAUUUUAAAUGUGUGGAUUAUAACGUAAUCAUCAAAACAAAAUCCAAAUAAUGUAGAAGUUUAGGCAAUGAAAAAUGAAAGAUCUUCACACUUCCACCCUCAGUGCAGAACCACAAUUAAAAACAAAAUUUCUUAGUUUCUUUUUUCUUUGAAAACACAUGAGAUGGGGAUGUCUAGAUUUUAGCCUACUUGGCAAUUUGUGACCAUAUUUAAUGUGAAAUUUGUACCUCUCUAAACUUGUAACUGUUCACUCCUGGAAAAUUCUACUUCGAUGAUUUCUUUUCCAUCUUUUCUUCUUUCUGGAACCCUUUCAGCUGGUUGUGGAAUCAUCUUCAGUCCUCAACUUACAUCAGGACUUUUGCCCUCCUGCAGAAAGUCUGCAAGGUGUCAGUCCAGACUGAAUCUAGUGAACAACAGAAGAGACACAUUGCUCAGCAGGUAGGUCCUGCCACCUCUUCUCCCAUACAAGGCUCACACUCUUCUCUAAACAAAUGUUGGACAAAUAGUUAAAUAGUACUGACUUGAAGUGACGGAAAAUGCAUGGCUUGACUAAGAUCGUCUACAUUUCUCUCUCACCCUCAAUCCAGGAAGACAGAUGUGUGCUUUUCAGCACAGAAGGAAACAGCAUGAAAACCAACAAGCAAGCAAGGAAACCAAUGAAUAUAAUAACAAAACUGAUUAUGUUGGGAACCUGAUGAAUACUUGAGGAGGAGGAGGACUUGAGAACUUUCUGGCACUGGAAGAUCUUCACAUGAAGGAACCAGGAGGCAGGGAAAGAACUACUCCAGGAACACUUAACAAUCUAGACUCGUCCACUGUUACAGUACGAAGGAACUAGAAAUUCUGGUGUUUGGAAACAUUUUCUUAGUAGACUUCUUCUUGCUUUGUUUUGUUCUUCAACAUGGUAUAGAAAGCCUGAUACUGAAACAGAAAACUGGGUACUUUUCCUGUCGGAGUGAGGGAGGAAGCAGGGGCUUGUGUCUGGAGGGUCCUCUUGGAUGACUGUCAGUGGUGCAAUUCCACAGGACCAAAGGUUUGAAAGAACGCAAACUGGGCUCAUUUUCAAAUGAGAGAAAAAGGCCUCAAGGUUCUUAUUAGAAAGAGUUGUUGAUCUAUUAAAUAAAAAUAAAACCAAAUAAAUCCAAUUCAAUGAAUUAAGAUUUUCAAGAGAUGUCAGAUGUGGCCCCUGUACUCAUGGACUUUUUCAUCUGGCAAGGAGGAAAGAUGUGUGUGAAAACAUACUAUGGGCCAGGUACGGUGGCUCAUGCCUGUAAUCCCAAUACUUUGGGAGGCCAAGGUGGGUGGAUCACCUGAGGUCGGGAGUUCGAGACCAGACUGGCCAACAUGGUGAAACCCCGUCUCUACUAAAAAUACGAAAAUUAGCUGGGCGUGGUGGCACAUGCCUGUAAUCCCAGUUACUUGGGAGCCUGAGGUAGGAGAAUUGCUUGAAACCAGAAGGCGGAGGUUGCAGUGAGCUGAGACUGCGCCACUGCAAUCCAGCCUGGGAAAAAGAGUGAGACUCCGUCUCAAAAAAAAAAAAAAAAAAAAAAAAGAAAGAAAGAAGGAAAACAUGCUGUGAGCUAUGCAGUGAAGAGAAGCAGAUCAUAGGCUCUGGGAGUUUACACUGGAGAAAGUUUUCAUUCAACCGUGGAGAUACUCAAGGCGAUCUUUAAACAAGGUCUGAUAUCAUGGGUAAUGUUGGGGUCUAUGCAGAGGUGGACAUCAGGUAGGAAAGGAUCAAGCAGAAGAACUGAGAAACGAAACGUAAAGUGUGUACAGACCGCAGUCGGCAAUUGGGAUUUAUAUUCUGCAUGAAUAAAUUCUUGGAAAGUGACAUUUAAGAUUUUAAAUGUGAGCUCAAAGAAUGUAACUUUUACUCUGUGGGUGAAGUACUAUUUUGAGAUGGGAAGUGACAGAAAAUCAGAGCUGAGAUUUAGGAAGAUUAGUCUGGCAGAGGUUUUCAGAAUGGCUGAUGGUAGGGACAGACUUCAAAAAAUUAAAUAGUGACAGAAUGGAAAGAAAAAGACAUGUGUGAGAUGAAUGACCACUGAGUUAUUGUUCCAACACGGUCAAUAUAAUGCAAGCACGACCCAAUGAGAUGGCACCUGUGAAAAAACUCCAUUAACUUUUAGUGCUAAUUAAAUGGCAGAGAAAGAAGUCAUUAAGGGAAAGGGUGCUAUGGCUCAAAAAUUCGGAAUUCUAAUCUCAACUUUGAGGCCCUGACUAGUGACUAUGUGUAACAAUUUCCUCAUAAAAUUAAGAGGUAAAACAGUGUCUUGGGAAGAAUCAAGUUAAUAACACAGGUUUAACCUGAGUUUCCCAGAGGUUACAAAGCUGGGUGCAAAGGCGGUCCAAGUAGCAUUACCACCAAACAAGCAAAGAAACAAAACCCAAAACCUCAAGUCUGAAUCUCUCUCACUGCAGGGCUCUAGGACCUCAACUCCUUCUGAAAUCUAUGCCUCUUACUUAUGGUACUUUCCAGAGAGGGCUACCAGAUUUAGCACACAUGUACAAAAGUUGCAAAAUGCUCAAGUA
ensembl:lncRNA